UGCGGGUUGGUGUAAUGGUAGCACGUCGCCCUCUGGAGGCGUAAAUUGGGGUUCGAGUCCCUGACCCGCAGCAA
rnacentral:tRNA from 1 species